rnacentral:rRNA from 1 species
AUUGAACGCUGGCGGCAGGCCUAACACAUGCAAGUCGAGCGGAUGAAGGGAGCUUGCUCCUGGAUUCAGCGUCGGACGGGUGAGUAAUGCCUAGGAAUCUGCCUGGUAGUGGGGGAUAACGUCCGGAAACGGGCGCUAAUACCGCAUACGUCCUGAGGGAGACAGUGGGGGAUCUUCGGACCUCACGCUAUCAGAUGAGCCUAGGUCGGAUUAGCUAGUUGGUGGGGUAAAGGCCUACCAAGGCGACGAUCCGUAACUGGUCUGAGAGGAUGAUCAGUCACACUGGAACUGAGACACGGACCAGAGUACUAAGGGAGGCAGCAGUGGGGAAGAUGGGACAAUGGGCGAAAGCAUGAUCCAGCAAUGCCGAGUGUGUGAAGAAGGUCUUCGGAUUGUAAAGCACUUUAAGUUGGGAGGAAGGGAAGUAAGUUAAUACCUUGAUGUUUUGACGUUAACAAAAGAAUAAGCACCGGCUAACUUCGUG